AUUUUUCUAAACUGUGCACUGCGAAACGGUCUUGUGCGAAGAAAAAUACUAAACGAUGAAUGUCAAGACAAAGCUUCAAGACUCAACUGAGGUAAGGGAUACUAAACAUUCUAAUUUUGGUAGUACAUGCUGCAUUUUGGCAACACGAAAUUCUUUAAAGUCAUAAAUAUAAAUAAAAAUAUUCACUCCUACUGUAUGUCGUAUUGUCGAUCUUAUAUUCUUGACUAGCAAAAUAUAAUCUUAUGUGAAAGGUCCCUACAAUGUUCUGAAGAGUUUAGGCUAUGUAGUGUUCAGGCAAUCGGGUUAUUAAAUAUAUUUCAAUGUUUUGAAGAGUUUAGGAAAUGUAGUAUUGAAGCUGUCGUGUUUAUAAUUUACUAUACACGAAACGGCAGCCAUGUGGUAGUAUUAAGACAAAGAAUCUCAUUAUUUUUUACUGAAUUUCGCACAUUCUUUUAAUUCUCAAGGGAUUGGUUGCAAGACAAGAAUAUAAUCUAUGAUAUAUAGUCAUGUUAACAAAUAACAGAAACGUCAGCUUCUUCAACUCACAGCCAGCUUGGGUUUGCUUGCUUUGCUCUUUCUACUGCCCUUGUGUGUACUGUUAAUAGAUACUAUGUGUUAUGUAAUGUAUUUAAUUCAACCCUACUAGGACUCUGGGCAGAAUACCUACCAAGCCACUCAAACAUGCUUUUUGGGCCUCUAUUAUUACAAUGAUGGGCCAAACAGAAUUGGUGUGUCAGAAUUAAUAUCCUAUUUCUGUCUCUUAUAGGUUAUGGCACUUUCUUAUGAAAAUUCAAAGAAGUGUGUUAAUGCCAUUGUUCCUUUGAAUGCCAAGUUAACUUUGAAUGCAAUGAAUGCCAACUUAACCUUGAAUGCCAUGAAUGCUAACUUAUCUUUGAAUGCUAUGAACACCAACUUGUCUUUGAAUGCUUAUAUUUGGCUUCACUUUUCCGUCGCACCCUACAUUGUCCCCAUUUUCUCCACAGGCCGGCAGGCGGAGUGAACGCCUGAGUAGGCGUCUUGUUUGCUAUCAAUAUCUAACCCUAAUAAUGUAGUAAUGUCAAAUUGAUUCGGUUUUAAUCAUGUAAGGAC